rnacentral:rRNA from 1 species
UACAGAGGCCUCAAGCGUUGUUCGGAUUCAUUGGGCGUAAAGGGUGCGUAGGUGGCUUGGUAAGUUGAAGGUGAAAUCUCGGGGCUUAACUCCGAAACUGCCUUCAAUACUGCUGAGCUCGAGGAUUGUAGAGGAGAAUGGAAUUCACGGUGUAGCAGUGAAAUGCGUAGAUAUCGAGAGGAACACCAGUGGCGAAGGCGAGUCCCUGGACAGGUCCUGACGCUGAGGCACGAAAGCUAGGGGAGCAAACAGG